UACGUAGGUGGCAAGCGUUGUCCGGAUUUAUUGGGUUUAAAGGGUGCGUAGGCGGUCUUAUAAGUCAGUGCUGAAAUAUCCCGGCUUAACCGGGAGGGUGGCAUUGAUACUGUAGGACUUGAGUAGAGUUGAGGUUGGCGGAAUUGACGGUGUAGCGGUGAAAUGCUUAGAUAUCGUCAAGAACACCGAUAGUGAAGACAGCUAACUAAGCUCUAACUGACGCUGAGGCACGAAAAGUGUGGGGAUCAAACAGG
rnacentral:rRNA from 1 species